AGGGGAUGAUGAAGAAAGUGAAUAAACUAAAUGUUACUUGAAGUGGUAAAAGUGGUAAAAGUUUAUGUUUUUGAAUGGAUCUAAUUUGAAUUCUCUCUUAGAAUCAGGAAGGAGGAAAGUACUGUUUUAGUGAAUUUGGUUAUGUCCUUAUAUUUUGUAAUUUUUGUUGUACAUCUUAUCUUUUGUGUCAAUGUAAUUGAAAGCUAGUACUUAAUAUUAUAAGGAACUUUGUUGCUUCAGUUAUAAGCUGUACAUCAUAUCUUUUGUAUACACAAAAUGAACUGAUAUAAUGUAAAAGCUAAUACUUUAUCUUAUAAGGAACAUUGUUGCUUCAGUUAUUAAGAUUUAUUAUGUUAAGAGUUAUUUCAUGAGCUAUUUUGUAUUUAUUCAAAGCUGUGAUCCAUUGCUAAUUAAUAAACUUUCAAGAAUAUGAGUGACUCGCCAUCAUCAGUUCCUGGUACUCCUAGUACUCCUGGAACUCCAGAUAUCUCUGUUGGAUCUACUACCGGCUCAUGUCCAUCUAGUCGGUCGGCCAUCUCAGUUGUGGGAGAAAAGUUCGUUCCUAAUGGUCAUUCUAUCUCGAAGACCAUCACUGAUACCUUCAUGGAGCGGCAAGAUGCUACUGGUUACACAUGGAAGGUUGUCUGCCAAUCCACUCGUGACUUCUAUUGGCAUGAAUUUAUGAAAUUAUAUCUGGAGUUUUGCUGAGGAUGCCAUAAUCAAACAUACUGGGAAAAAAGUGGCAUCUACCUUGUAUACUAAAAAGCUGCACAAGUGGCGAAAAUUUAGAACCAGACCUACUUUUAUUAAAGAGCAUAUAUGGGAAAGCUGGCAGGCACACUGGUCAUCAGAAAAGUGGCUUGAAAAAUCUCGUGUCGCCACUCAAAAUCGGUGUUGCGAGACUGGUGGUCCAGGCACUGGUCCAAGCAAGCAUACCGGUUGUUCUAGGUCUAUAGUGGAGCAUACUAUAAAAUUGGUAAUAGAAUUACAUCGUCCAGCAAAUUCAUGGGAUAUAUUUAAGAAGCUGCAUAAAAAAAGGAUGGGAACUUUGUGGAUACUAAGUCUAAAACUGUUGGUGAUAAAAUGGAAGCUGCGAUGGCUGCUGCUAUUCCGAGCUCAUCCGAUGAUUCACAAGAAGUUCAAAAUGCCGAUAUAAAUCGUCUAUACUUGGAUGUUGUCGGCGGAGAGAAGAAAAGACGCGUGUAUGGAUUGGGCUCUCAAGCUGCGACUUUGUAUCAAGACUGCAAUGCUGCCACUUCACGCCAUUUGCCUGUAGUACCAGAUCCCGCUGCUGAAGAGCGCAUCAAAGUGCUUGAGGAGGAGGUGUUGCGUAUGAGAGAAACACAAGAGAGGAUUCUUCAAGAGCGCGUGGAGGCAGAGGUGCAACAAACGCGUAGACCAAGAGGUCUCGCUUUUGAAUCAACAGAAUGAUGAUCGAUUUCGGUCUAUGGAUGCGCAGGAUGAGCGAGAUGGCGUUAUCAUCUCACCCAUAUGGUGUUCCUACUCCCUUUAACAAGGACUAACCAAAUGCUUAAGUAUUUAACAUUGUUAAACUUUAGCUACUUGGAUACUCUCUAAGUGCUAUUUUAAUGUUGGCAGGAUUUUGAUUGUUGGAUGCUUUCUAAUUUUUAAUAUGUUUAGGCUUUUGCUAGUAGAACUUA